UUUCUUCCAGCAUCUUAGGUAGUAGUACUGCGGAAGUAAGUAGCCGUGAAGCAAGAAGGAACAGUAGAAGACUGUUCUGGGAUGCUUUUUCGAGACGCAGUUCUAGAAGGCAUAUUGAUUCUCCAACCGUAGUUUUCUCAACUGAGGAUGCUGAUGAUCUGGGAAUGCAUGACAGAUGGCUCCUUGAUUUCGGUGGUGAUCUCUUUGAGGAUGGCUUUGGUGGUGAUUCAGGAUACCUUGGCAGUAGAAGUCAUGGCAUGAAUGAACGGCGAUAGAGUUCGAGAUCAGAGAUCUGGGAAAGACUUUGUGGUGGACCUGAUGAGAGUGGCCGACGUACUAGUUUUUGUGCAUCUGGGCUUCACCCUGAUGGUACCUGCUCAUGUGAGAGUUUCUCGAUGACAUAAGAGUCUGGUACUCAUGCAAGUAUUUCACGAAUAGUUAUGCUUGCUGAGGCAUUAUUUGAGGUCUUGGAUGAAAUCCAUCGCCAACCCAUGUCACUUUCACUAACAAUGGUCUCUGUCCCAGCUCCAGAAUCUGUUGUUAACUCCUUUCCUAUCAAGAUUCACAAAAACACAGCUGAGUGUGGAAAUGAUAUGGAACAGUGAAAUGGUUAGUCUCCUUAUCCAGGUUGAGGAAGGGGUACUGCAUUCUCGGUUGUCAAAGACAAGACAUAGUACUUAAUGGUUAUCAAGUCAGCCUUUGGAAUGCACCUUAGGAAAUUUCCCCUCCUAGUGUAUGUUUGUUAGCCUUUUUUCAUUGAGCUUCUGAAAGGAAGCCAUAUCGGAAGGUAAUUUGGUUUGAAAAAUUAUUAGGGAUUUAUUCCACAGAGCUAGAACUUUGAAGGAUUUGUCACUU